AUACUCAGUGGUGGCCAUAGAGAGUUGGUGACUGCCUUUGAGAGGAGAAUGGUUGUGAUCCUUUUGCCGAGAACUCACCCAGAGGACUUAUACCUUGGUGACAGCAGAAGGACUCAAAUUAGAAAACUGAGGCCCAGAGAAGGAAAGUAGCUGCCAGAGGUCACACAGCUAGGAUUGAGGGAUCAGAGGGUCCUGGGUCUCCAGCUGCCCCAGUUGAACAGGGGGCUGUCCCCUGCGGCUCUCAAGGCGUUCCGGGGCUGUGAGUCAUCGGGAAUGUCUGUUCUGACUGCGGCUUCCCUCUCCUGACGUGGACCCUCUUUCUCCUCCUCCCCCACACUCAGGGAGAGGGUGCCCCUCCCAGGCAGGGGGCUCUGAAGUGGGGGAGGAAGCCACAGGCAGGCCUGGGAUGAGGUCUUGCUCCCCGAUUGCCAUCGGAAGGAGGCUUCGAAGACUUGCACGCCCCUCACCCAGAUUCUACCUUCCCAAGGCAGAUAGAAUUCCCUGACUUUCUCCCAUUUCCCAGGUGGGGACACUGAGGAGAGGCGGGGAGGGGAGGGCCUGAACUUGGGUGGGCCCAGGUUCACCCACUCCCUUUUAGGGCUCAGCUUUGUCAGACUGGGAAUCUGCCCAAGUGUCCUUCUGAAGGGCCCUCCCCGCAUUCGAGGCUGGAUCUGGCAGAAAAGCUGGAGAGGCUCUGCUGCCCGCUCCAGGGAUGACACGUCUCUGCUGGGUGGGGAGUCCACGUCCGCAGAAAAGGGGGAGGCCACGUGUCUGGACCCUUCCCGCAGAGCCCCUGUGCCCUGCAAGGCUGCCUGCCACCCCCCUCCUUCUCUCCCUCCUCUCCCCAGCAGCCCUGGCCUGCCCCCUCCCUCUGAUCUCAAGAAAUAGCUGGGGGGUCGGGGGAGGGGACACUGAAGGGAAGACCAAGCUAGGAAAAGCUCCUCUCCACCCCCUCCCAGCAUGUCUGGGCAUUUCACUCCCCACCAAUGAGCCUCAGUUUCCUCAACUGGAAAAUAAGGGGGAUGAACAGAAAAAGUCUCUACCCAUGGGUGAGUCUAUGAUCCUGUCUCUGCACAGUCAGAUAGACUCAGGCACUCACACCCACUCAAACCCACCUGUGCUCUCAGGCACGUUCAUUCAUUCACACAUUCACCGAUGCACACUUACACACACAUCUACACGCACAUGUGGCCCUCUGCCUAUUUUGGGUACAGCAGAUCCCCACAAUUUCUGUUUCCCUCUUUCUGACAGCCCACCAUUUCUUCUCUCAUUCCAAUCAUACCUCCCCCAGCCCCCACCCCACCCCCUUUAGCCACCCUCUUUACAUUUCUCUACUCCUGGUUCUCCUCCUCUUGAGGUCACUGGCAGGGCAGUGAGAUUUGAACUUCAGAGUAUCAGACCUCUGACCUUGCCAAAGACCACUCUGACUCUGCCCUAAGGCUCUUUCUGAGUUUUGGGUGGGAGGGAGUCUGAGUGAGGAGAGAGAAUAGAGCUGAGAAAGGCUGGUUCUUUCCUACCCAGCUGGGGACCUGCAAAAGGGUGCCCUUCACUUGUCUUUCCUGAACAUUAUGAACAUUCGCUUUCCAACAAAGUCUGUCCCACUGACAUCCGGAGGCCUCCUCUGAAGUGCGAUCAUUUUAGCAGCUUGUCCUGGCUGUUGCCCCAGGUUGCACCCUUCUAGGAACUUCCGCCUGAGGGAGACUGGUCAGAGCUCAGGAGGGACUGUUCCAGGGGAUGAGAUAUCUGCUGGCCAGGAAAGGCAUGGGAACUGGGCAGCGGAGCACACCCUCCGGACCUGGCCCAACUUCAGAAUAACAACAAAUGAUUGUGCCAGGCUCUGCCGUAAGUACUUUACACCUUUGUACUCCUCCAAAAGCCCUCUGAGAUGGGUGCUCCAAUUGUCUCCAAUUUCAAAGGAGGAAAGAGAGGCACAGAGAAGUCAAGUCAGUUGCCUGAAGUCACAAAGCUAGCAAGUGGCUGAGCUGGAAUUCAAACCCAGGCAGCCUGGCUUAUCUGUUACUCCCAGCUGGUCCAAGGGACCCGGGAUGGUCCAAGGGAUGCCCUCCCCCUUCAUCUAAAGAAGUGGCUAUUUGCAUAAACAGGCUUCCAUCUGUGUGCAUGCAUGGAAAGGAUCACGGGAUGACGUGGCUGGAAACAGACCACAGGCACCACCAGUAGUUGGAAAGAUCAGAACAGAGCUGCCUCCCUCCCUUUUGCUGGAGAACUAUUGUGAGCUGACCACCACACACACGACAUCUCCUUUAAUCCUCACAACAGCUCUGGGACGUCAGCCUUAAUAUCUCUAUUUUAUAGCUGUAGAGUCAGAAGGGCCGAGGCGUUGUGCAAGAUCCCCUUUCUCAAGCUCAGAAAGAACCCAGGUGUCCUGACAGCCAGAUCAGGCUUCUCUCAUUGAUCCACACGUCCCCUAUUUCCAAAUCUACAUGGCUUCUAGACACACACAGCCACAUACAACAGACCACGCAGAAUGUUGGAAAGAAUUACAGCUCUUGGCCGGGCGCGGUGGCUCACGCCUGUAAUCCCUGCACUUUGGGAGGUCGAGGUGGGUGGAUCACCUGAGGUCAGGAGUUCAAGACCAGCCUGACCAACAUGAUGAAACCCCGUCUCUACUAAAAAUACAAAAAAAUUAGCUGGGCGUGAUGGCGGAUACCUGUAAUCCCAGCUACCCAGGAGGCUGCGGCAGAAGAAUCGCUUGAAACCAGGAGGCAGAGGUUGCAGUGAGCUGAGAUCGUACCACUGCACUCCAAUCUGGGCAACAACAGCAAAACUCCAUCUAAAAAAAAAAAAAAAUUACAGCUCUCGGUAGUGUUUGAAGAAGCACUUUGCACCUCCUCAUUGACAAUGCCCCAGGAAGGGCUUAUGCUCAUUCUGUUGUGAGGGGAAGCCCCUUGCUGGGGCUUCCCCCCUGGCUGGGAAGUGGUAAAGCUGUGAAUAGAUCCCAUGUCUGCCUGGCCUGGCCACAAAGCUAGUGCUCCUCCCACUCUCCAAUACCACCUGCCACCCUCACUGUCACCAGCCCAGAAGCACCCCCUGCACACACCAUAUCCCCAGUGAGCACACAUGCAUGUCACAGACAGGAAAAUCACACUCAUGUAGUACCUGCACGACACAGGCUAAGGGCUUUUUGGUGUUUCCUGUGUGCCAGGCCCUGUUGUAAGUUCCGUGUAGGCAUGAGCUAGAUGCAAGGCCGCAACAAUCCUAGGAUGUAGGUUCCUUUCAAUAUUCUUAUCCUCAUUUUACAAAUGAGGAAACUGAGGCUCAGAGAGGUUAAGUAAUUUGCCCAAGGUCACACAGCUAGGAAGUUGCAGAGCUGAGAUUUGAACGCAGGCUUUAACCACUGUGCUAUGGCCCAUUCUCUAAUAUUGAUUGCAUGCUACUCAUUCAGUCAGUCAUCAACUAUUACUGACUGCUGUGUUGUGCCCAACUCUGCACAGGCCCCCGGGACGGCUCUUCCCUGCCCCCUCCUCCUGACCCAGCCUGGUGUGUACCACAUGGUAGAUGGGGGCUGUACCUGCUCUCACUCUCCUUCUUUUCCAGAGUUCCUCCUCCCCCACAAGCUGGCACAUGUGGAUAUUGGCUCUGUUUUGCCUUUGACCCCUAGUGAAAGAAAAUACUGAGACGGAGUCUCGCUCUGUCGCCCAGGUUGGAGUGAAGCGGCUAGAUCUCAGCUCACUGCAACCUCUGCCUCCCAGGUUUAAGCAAUUCUCCUGUCUCAGCCUCCAGAGUAGCUGGGACUACAGGCGCAUGCCACCAUGCCCUACUAAUUUUUUGUAUUUUUAGGAGAGACAGGCCUUCACCAUGUUGGUCAAGCUGGUCUCGAACUCCUGACCUCAGGUGACCCACCGGCUUCAGCCUCCCAAAGUGCUGGGAUUACAGGCAUGAGCCACCGCGCCCAGCCUCAUAUCUAUCUUUAUCACUCCAUUUCAGAUCUUCUUCCAUAUAUGGCUCUGUGUGUCUCCUGUCCUUCCCUGUCUCCUCACUGCUUUUCAGCUGGUAGACCCCUGUGGGGACAACAGAUCAGAGCUUGGUCACCAAUAUGGACAUCUAGGUCUGAGCAGGGCCCACUCCCCGGGGGCGCAUCAGCUCCAUCCCGGCACCCUUUACACUGGCCUUCUCUUCACAAAGGACCACAGGUCAUCCUCAAGCCUUCCUCCCAGGCUAUCCUUGUCCCUGAAUACUAAUGUCUAAAGGUCAGCCCAGCUACCAGCAGUGUGCAUGUGAUGUGUCCCAUCUCCCCUUCGGAUUGGAGGAAGAAGCUGUGUCCCUCCCAUCAGACAGACGGUCUCCUUAAAGAUUCUCCUGGUCUCCAGCUUGGGCUCUGCUGGAAAGAAGAGGAAGUAUUUAGCAAGGGUGAAGAUGGGUUCUUACUUCCCUGAGGCAACCAGAGAUAAGAAAAGACCAGAAUAUGAAUAUCCAGCAUUCCACAAAGAAUCCUACAGGCAGGGAUAUUGCCCAAUCACCAGUGCCUCGCAUCCCAGUUCUAUCCAAGAUCCAAGCUUGAUAUCCUCCUGAAAGACUUCCUGAAUCAGGUCACCAACAUGGACAUCUGAACUUCCAGAAUCAGGUCACCGUCUUUCUUCUCAUCUCUGGAUGUAUUUGGAGCUCAUUUGUCUGACGGUUUUUGAAUGCUAUCUUUUAAAAAUAAACUUUUACAAUUUGGGUUUAAUAAUUCUAGAUUUAUAGAAAAGUUGAAAAGAAAGUACAGAAAGUUCCCAUAUAUCCCUUAUCCAGUUCUCUUAAUGUUAACCUCCUACAUCAUCAUGGAACAUUUGCCAAAAUGAAGAUGUCAACACUGGUGCUUUGCUGUGAACUAAACUCCAGACUUUAUUCGGAUUUCAUGAAUUUUUCUCCUAAGGUCCCUUUUCCGUUCCGGCAUUCCACCCAGGAUAUCACAUUGCAUUUGGUGUUUGUGUCUCCUUGGUCUCCUCUGGUUCUUGAGAGUUUCUCAGUCUCUCCUUGUUUUUCGUGACUGAAGUUUCAAGGAGUACUGGUCAGGUAUUCCAUAGAAUGUCCUACUGUUAGCUUUCAGCAGUAAAAGCCUUUCCACAAACAAAACCUUCUGCAGAGUCCUAAUCUGUGAACAGACAAGAAUGGAGUUGCCAUGGUCACAGCAGUGAUGAGAAAUGAUCCCCUGAAUAUGAAUCUCCAUGAAACCCCCCGAGAAUUAUAAGAAACCCCCAGGAUACCAUGGA
rnacentral:lncRNA from 1 species